CUGCCGCCGCUCCCGGCGGAUGUCCGGCCGCGGCCAUGGCGCUGCUGGAGGCGGGAGCCCGCGGGCGGCUCCUGCGCUGGCCCCGAGUCCUCCUCUUCGGAGACUCCAUCACUGAGUACUCCUUCCAGGAAAACGGCUGGGGGGCAUACCUUGCUGAGAGACUGGUCAGAAAAUGUGAUGUUGUGAAUCGUGGGAUCUCGGGGUACAACACCAGAUGGGCUAAAUUGAUUCUUCCAAGACUGAUCACUGAAAGUACUAGUGCUGACAGUAUUGUUGCAGUUACUAUUUUCUUUGGAGCUAAUGACAGUGCUUUGAAAGAGCUGAACCCUAAGCAACACGUUCCUUUGGAGGAAUAUGCCGCCAACCUGAAGAGCAUGGUGCAGUACCUGAAGUCAGUAGACAUUUCUGCAGACAGGAUUAUUUUGAUAACACCACCACCUCUUCAGGAAUCAGCUUGGGAAAAGGCAUGUCUUGCCAAAGGUGACAAACUGAACCGCUGCAAUGCCACCACCGGCCAGUACGCCCAGGCCUGUGUCCAGGUCGCCAGGGAAUGUGGCACGGAUGUGCUCGACCUCUGGACCCUGAUGCAGAAGAAUCAGGAUUUCUCUUCCUAUUUGUCUGAUGGUCUUCAUUUAUCAACAAAAGGCAACAGCUUUCUUGCAGCUCAGCUGUGGUCACGCCUGGAAAACAAACUGUCAGCUCUUCCUUCACUGCUUCCUUACUGGCGUGACGUGGACCACACGAACCCUGAGGCCAGUCUUCUGUGAGAUCCCUGCAGGGAGGAGCUGGGCAGCCAUGCCAGACAGAGCCAGCCCAUUAUCCAGCAGCUGCUGCAAACUGUGUCCUCAGGGAAUGGGGCACUGGGGAGUCCCCAGCAAUGCUCUUCUCUGUCCCCUGCUCUUGGUCUGUGGGAGAAUAAAGUUCUUCUCCAACCAGACACCUGCAACACACAAACCUUAGUGCGGAGUGGGAAGCUCCCAACAAAAGCCACGAAGACAAGACAGCCUCACCACUGAGGCAGAAGUUUCAUGCUAGAGGAGCAUUUCUCAUGCACCGUAUACAGUUUAACAGCCUCUGUGAUCUUUUUAUUUAUACAGAAGCUGGGCAUAUUAAGCUCCUUUAUUCUGAUUAUGCAUUUCAUUGAAUGCUGCGAGACACUGUAAUUAUAUUUGUUUCAUUACUCUCUGUUCUCAAGGCAUGUGCUUAGGCUUUUGUUUAUAUGUACCUUAAAUUGCUAAAUUAUCUACUCUA